CCUACGGGUGGCAGCAGUGGGGAAUAUUGGACAAUGGGGGCAACCCUGAUCCAGCCAUGCCGCGUGUGUGAAGAAGGCCCUCGGGUUGUAAAGCACUUUCAGUGAGGAAGAACGCCUGGUGGUUAAUACCCAUCAGGAAAGACAUCACUCACAGAAGAAGCACCGGCUAACUCCGUGCCAGCAGCCGCGGUAAUACGGAGGGUGCGAGCGUUAAUCGGAAUUACAGGGCGUAAAGCGCGCGUAGGUGGCUUGAUAAGCCGGUUGUGAAAGCCCCGGGCUCAACCUGGGAACGGCAUCCGGAACUGGCAAGCUAGAGUGCAGGAGAGGAAGGUAGAAUUCCCGGUGUAGCGGUGAAAUGCGUAGAGAUCGGGAGGAAUACCAGUGGCGAAGGCGGCCUUCUGGACUGACACUGACACUGAGGUGCGAAAGCGUGGGUAGCAAACAGGAUUAGAUACCCUUGUAGUC
rnacentral:rRNA from 1 species